rnacentral:sRNA from 2 species
ACAUGUGUCAAAGGGGAGUAGCUAUAGGGAAACCUAUUUCAUAAUCGUCAUUACAUGGCUUCGGCCAUCGGUUAUGAUAGUGCCGCCACUGUACAGUGGCGGCGCUUAGCAAGACCUUUGCCCGCUUUUUCGGGUAAGGGUCUUUUUGUUUUCCGCCAUAAAGGAGGGAACU